AAACUCCCUGCUAGAGGGACUAGGAGAUUGGGGGCUGCGGCCGUUUCCUCCGGAGCAGCCACGGGACUGUGUGCUGGGGUCACUCCACCGGCUGUGUCCUUUAUUCUUCUUUCUCACCCAACGAUUUACCUGAACGAUUAUAAAGUGCACGUUAUUUCCCUAAGGUCCUUCUUACUGAUGUGUUGCUCUUCUUCAUGGCUCAUGAAAACUAUUAGAGUCAUCCAAGGUUUGGAGACAGAAAGGAGCACCCCCAAGUGAGGCAGAGCAGUCUCAGAAACAUAGGAAAAUGGUGGGAAGAGAGGUCAGCAGCGUUAACUGGGUGCCAAGAAAACAUACCGAGAUCGAAGCCAUCCACUUCUGCAGGAACACCGAAAAGAAAGCUUACAAUCUGAAGGUGUCCGUUCCUACACUGGUCAGACCACUGUCCUUGGGGCAGCUGGGGUCUUUGGGACCCUCCACCGGGCUCGCCGGUCCGUCGGACUUUUGGCUGAGAUCCGUGUCAGACUCCUCCGAAUAGUCGUCUGUUGGCAUCGAGGGCUGAACCCCUGAGGUGCUGCAUGAACUUGAGGUAACCGUUGAAGAUGAGGAGAGAGGAGGAAAAGAAGGGGGCUUCGCUGCCGAAGCCCGGGAGACCACUUGCGGCCAAGACUUCCUGGAGGCAUGGGGGGAAGCGGAGGAGGGGGCGGCGGCCGACGGGGGAGGGGGGCUGUCGUUUGAGUGAGCGGCAGACUGCGAGGUAGAUGCGGUGCUAGGAUCGGGGAAGCAGGCAGAGUGAGGUAAUAAACUAGGGUGCUCUUUGGCGUUUCUUGCUGCUCUCGUGAUUGUUCUGUGUUUGUGCAAGGCCGACUCGAGAUGUUGACUCAGAGCUUCCUCCCCACAGAGCGCGCUCUCGCACGCCAGGCAGUGGUACGAGCCGCCGCCGCCGCCACCGCCACCGCCGCCACUGCCGCCGCCGCCGCCGCCGCCGCCGGUGGGGACGUGAAGCACCAUCUCUUGCAGGUUCACCACAGACUGGCCGAAGAAGCAGAGGGACUUCAGGUGGCUCCUCGCCGCCUCCUCGUCGCCGAAGCCCGCCUGGCACUUGCGGCAGACCAACUUGUACUGCACCUUUGGAACAAUGAAGGGGUCGUAGAGGGAGUCCGCACUUUUGCUUUCUGCUUCUGGCUCUUCAGGGGGUUUCGGCAGGAGGGGGGACACCUCACGGGGGGCGUUUUUCUGUUCUUCUGGUUUGGGGGAUUCUUUGGCAGGGUCUUUGUCUGGGGAAGCAGCCCCCGGGGGGACUGGGGUUUGGCUUGCUUUGGGCUGCUGCUGCUGCACUUUUUGCUGCUGCUGCUGCUGCUGUAGUUGCCGCUGCUGCUGAAUUGCCUCCUGCAGACUCUGCUGGUAUUGCUGGUACUGCUGCAGUAGGGAGCCUGGGGACAGCCCCAUCAGGGCCUGCGACAGUGCAGGGCUGUAGGGGAACAGGCCUUCCAUGCCAUACAUAGGCUGCAGGUACCCGCUCUGCAGGGCGCCAGGGAUCUGGGGAGCAUAAUAAGGAGAAAAGCCUGGUACAAAGUAAGGAAGGAACUGGCUCGUGAGCAAUGCUGUGGGGUCCGAAGUCAACGCGGCCUGCAGGGCCUGCAGCUGUGCAGGGUCUACCGCAUACUCCAUGGUGGGCAGCGGGGCUGAGAUCGUGGCUGCAGUUGCCGUGGGGGCCUCUCCUUUCUCCUUCUUGGGGACAGGCAGGGGUUCCCCUUUCCCUUUGUGUGCCUUUUCCUUCUCCUUUACUUUCUCACUGUCUUUGUCCUUGCGUUGCUGCUGCUGUUGCGGUGGGAGCUGUGGUGUGGGUGGCGGCUGGGCUGCUGGCGGCGGGGGAGGCUGCUGCACCUGUGGCUGCUGCUGCUGCUGGGGGGGUUGCUGAGGGGCCAUCGCCAUGGUGGCUUGUGCUGGGGUUGGGGAGCUCAGCGACGCUGAGGACGGUUUAUUUGGUAAUCCAGAUGUGGGGAGGCCAGGGGAAGGAACAGUUGUGCUGGGCAGACCCAUCAAGUUCGGCUUAGGAGACGUUAAAGCUGAAAGGAAUGGAGACAGAAAUCACCCGUCAGUCUGGGCAGGGGUAGGGCUGAAGCUCAAGACGUUUUGCCAGUGUCACUGGCACACAGUCUGAGAUGUCAAGGCUUGAAGGAUCCUCUCAAAAUGAGCAUUUCCAACAGAAGUAUCCCACCAGGCUCAGGGCUGGACAACCUUGUAUUCUAAUGAGGAUUCAGUCCUGGGUCAGCUCCCAUACUUCCCCUUUCAGCCAAACAACUUCCAACACCUUCCUGCCCAAUGUGCCACACCCGCUAGUUCACAUUUUCUUUGCCAAGUACUCCCAGCUACCAUUCACUCUGCCCAACUGCAAUUAGUCUAGAGGCCCCAAAGCUAGCUGUUUCUAGCUGGGGCCCAUUUGCACCAAAGGCCUUCAUCACAAAAAUAGUAUGGCCACGAGGUCUCCAGAGAAGUUAUCUGGAGGACAGCGGCAAUAGGAGAGAAGAGAACAAAAGCAAGAAAGCUAGCACGGCCACAUGAACAAACAAAACAGGCUCUACAUGUGUUCCUCCUCUCUGACCUCUGUUGCUGCAGUUGACUGGAUGCUUUCGGAGGGUAGAGAGAAGAAGAUGAAUAGGAAAGUGUGGGGGAAGGGCCUGGGAAGAAAUAAGAACAAUCCAUUCAGGGAAAAUUGCUUCCAUGCCUUGGCCCAGCUGAUCUGCUUCAACAAGUCUACUCAACAGUAUAACCGCCUAGGAAGAGGAUUCUGGAAUCCGCUGGAGAAACGACCACCUUCUCUUCCUGCCCCUGUUUGAAUGAUACACAGGAGGGCCAGUGGGACUGUAGAUGGUUGAGGAACAACCGCAGGAAAAGGAGAAAAGCCAUGUCAGAAAUGGAAUAGCCCAAGAUACUGACACCAAUUCCCAAGACAUCACAACCUACCCCAAGCACCACUGCCUAUGGAUAGCAAAGGUCUCUGACUGUGUCACCAGGCCCUCAUGGACUGGAGUCCCAUGCUUGAUCAUACUCACCCCUAAUCUACCACCGCUCCCUGCAAUGCCUUCACCGACCCGAGAGCCUAAUACCCUCCCUGACCCAUAGCUAUCUCCUGGUUUGAGUCAUCAGUUCCAAGGUAAUGCAAGAGGGUGUUGCUACGGAUGGUACUCCAAGCUUCAGGUGUGUUGAGACUAGCAAGAUAGUAGGUAAGGACAGCAUGGGGGUGGGGUGCAGCGUGUGCUGGACGAUGAAAAGCUGAGAAAACAAAGAGCAGGAUCCCACAGGCAACAGCUCUCAGAACACCUCUAUAUUCACCAUAUCCAAGAAACUAGAUGGUAUAUACAUCUCUUCAGAGGACAACAAAAUGCAAAAUCAAAAUCUUAUUUGGACCUCACCUUCUGCUGGAAAGCUGGGGAAGGAGUUCCAUAACAUGACACUGAGAAAAAAAAGCAAGAAAAAGCACUCUGAAGCCCAGACCUGGGGGAAGACUGCUGAUUUCUGGCUAUCAUGGUAGUGUUCACCAUCAAAACCCUCAGAUUUCAGAUGAAAAGAACAAGACUGCUUCAAAUUGCCAAUCCCAGACAAACAUCUGUUAAUACUGGAUAGCCAAGGAGAAAGGUUCCUUCAGCAUCUCAUCAUCCAGUGUCCUCAAUGCACAUAAGACACCAGAGAAGAUAUGUGUGACUCUACUCAGAAAAGCUUAGUAAAGACUUGUUAGUUAAAUUGGCACAAACAAGACAGAGACAGAGUAGAUUAUGAGUUCUAAACUUGGGACAUGGCUCUGUCUCCACUAGGCAAUGGGCCUGCUCUCAGUGGGGCAAGGAAGGAAUAUCUAGAGAUUUCCCCAUCCCCAUGGCUCCAGACUUUUAGGAGAAAGAUUCAGGUCAAAAAGCCUUAAACUGUGUGUCUUCAACUGACGGUCUGUAUAAGAGGUUCAAAUUUUAAGAAACGUUUACAAAUCUGUACUAUUUACCAAGCCUUGCACUAGCCAUGCUAGACACAGUAGCUCAACACACUCACAACUCUGUGACAUCCUUUUUCUGAUCUGUAAGAUCAGAAUCAGGCAAGGUACUUCAUCCCCCCAGGACUUACUCCUACAACUCUGGAGUCACACUGACCCUGUGGGAUUAUGGUCACACACAUCAGACAUGUGACCCUGGGACUUUCGGUUGAACUCUUGGAACCUCAGCUUUCCACAACAGAUGGUUAUAAGGAUUAAAUAAAAGACCAUAUUGAUAGAAAAAGCUUAGCAUUGGGCCUGACAUAUAAUAGAUGUUUAAUAAACACAAGUUCGCUCCUUCCCUCCCAUUCCAGAUCCAGUGUUUUUGAGAGCUGUGUUACGAUCAGGUGAUGAUAACUGGGGUAUGUCUGCUGCCCUGAAUAAAUAAGAGCUUAUCUUUCUAUCUCGAGUCCACUCUAAGUGGUCAGAACCUGAGUAGCACUAAACAUAUACCUGUUGACUGACUGGCUCAUAUUGGGUGUUGUGGAAGGAGCACAUAGCACUGGGAGCCCAGAGGCCUGGGUGGGAGCUCUGGCUCCUACCCUAGCUUGUUGAAUGGUCUUGACCUCUCUGGGCCUCAGAUUUCUCAUCUGUAAAACAAGCGGAAUAAAUCAUACAUUCUGAUUCUA
rnacentral:antisense_RNA from 1 species